UCUAACAAUGUGCUACAGUCGUUGUUAUUAUAACAUGAAAGAUAAUUAUAUUUUUAGAUCUCGCAUUCAGAGUCUGAAAAUGAUUUCACUCCUGGAGGUGAAAAUUUGGUAAAUGACAAGAGGCUUGAAAAUGAAGAAAACCCUGUAAAAGAACAAAUUACUGUAAAUGACUCGAAAAGCAGUAUAAGUGAAGAAUUGAAUUGUACUCCAAGAGUAAGCAAUUAUGAACAUAUGAUCAUAGAAAAAGAAAUCAUUAUUUCAGACGAUGAGGUCGAGCUUGUUGAAACGUCACAGGCUGAGAGAAAGUAAGAUAAUUGGUCAAAAUAAAGUAAUUUGUAUCGAAUGCUUAAUUGUCCUCCAGUUUGAUUUGGUGGAACACACUUUAAACGAUGGCCAUUUUGUGGGUAUUUUUCAGUGAGGAAUAUGUAUCCUUACAGUCGAUAUUGUCAGAUAUUUCUGCAAAGGAAAUUGACGAGGAGUCUAGAUCAUUCAUAAAUGUUCGUCGUAGCCAAAUAUGGGUCGACUCUUGUCGUCAUUUAAACAAGAA